rnacentral:lncRNA from 1 species
AGUUAACAAAAACAGCGAGCAAGGGGCACCUGCAUUUACACUAAGGGCAACUGCUGAAAAUUCAGUGUCCUUCUCCUGUUUAGGUAGCAGUGGAGAACAUGCUACAAGUAGUCUGCUUAAGCAUGAAGAACUGAUUUGAAACAACAGCAAAAAUACUGCAAAAUCCUAUAUGAAAAAUAAAAUAAAUAUGCAAAAGUAAGAAAUACAUUACUACUAGUACUACUUGAUACUACCUAGUAGUAGUACUAGGUUAGUACUACUACAUACUACUACUUGACUGUUGGCUUUCCCCAGCUAAACAGCUUCUAUUAACCUCCCCUGCUGAUGUCUGGACACAUUUCUUAUGCAAAUGACUAAGGCAGAUCAGCACAUAUCAGUUUUGUAAUGACUUUAUCUUAACCUGUCAUAUCUUUGUGAAAUAAUGUUGGUGUCCUAGUGUCUCAGUUCCUAUAAGCCUUUGGAUGUAUUUGUCUUUGAGAGAGUGUUGAUAUAAACUAAUAUUGAAGUAUCUGUUAAACUAACAUACAUUCAUUAACAUGUAGCAUUAGAGCUGUUCUGCAAAUCUCUAAUUGCAUUACUGUUUUAUGUCCUAAGUGCUUACUCAACUAUGAAUAUAUAAACUCUAGUCUGUAAGGACUGUCAUCAAGAUGCUAUCAAAGCAAAAAAAGUAUGUGUUCC